GUAAAAAUAAAAGGAGAAGCCAGGUUCUCAUUACAUAUGCCUUGUUUUAUGGCAUGCAUGAGUCAUAAAAAGUUGGCACUAUAACAUGGAUGAAGCUAAUAAGGCCUUAAGUGCUGUGCAAGGUCUGACUCUAAGAAGCAACCUGAGAUCAGGUGCGAGCUUUCUCUUACGCCCAUGAAUCUCUCGAUCUGUCAUCAACAAUAUUAUACUUGUUUUGUGACAACUUGAACACAUAUUCCUUGCUCAUCAGCGACUGCAGUUCUGCUGGAGCAGAGUUGUCACCUGGGGGCAUUUUGUUAAGCAGCUUCUUGUCAACCAAAUUUCUACAACUCCAGCAGCAUCAUAUCCUGGAACAUGAUGCGACCAUGCAUGAUUUAAUUAUAUAACUAUAACCACAUAUAAAAACUAUAACAAUUACAGUAGAACACUUUAGAGUGAUAAAAAGAUUCAAGUGGAGACAUAAAGGCAGUUCAUGAGUUUGUUCUUUGUAUGCUACAGUAACGGCAGCUAAGCUUAUUUAUAUACAUUAUUCUAAUGAACUUUACAGAUGCAUAAUUAUAAACCAGAGAAUGUUUUGAUUCUAAAAAUCUGCUGCUAUGCUCUCCAGAUAAAUCAAAAACAGAUAACUGCCCACGAUCAUGAUCAUAUAACACAAAUCAACCCUGAAAAUUAGCAAAAGUAUAUACGUGAUUUGCUAGCGUGGAGAUGAAUAACAUACAUACCUGCUUUGAUCCUCUAGCUGAAUCCGUCAUUUGAUCCAGAGUCUCUUCACAAUCUUUUCCCUUUCAAUUCCUUUUGCUUAACAAUAAAUUCUAUUCC
rnacentral:lncRNA from 1 species